rnacentral:rRNA from 1 species
UACGUAGGGACCAAGCGUUGUUCGGAUUUACUGGGCGUAAAGGGCGCGUAGGCGGCAUGACAAGUCACUUGUGAAAUCUCCGGGCUUAACUCGGAACGGCCAAGUGAUACUGUCACGCUAGAGUGCAGAAAGGGCAAUCGGAAUUCUUGGUGUAGCAGUGAAAUGCGUAGAGAUGCGGAGGAACACCGAUGGCGAAGGCAGCCCCCUGGGCCAAUACUGACGCUCAGGCACGAAAGCGUGGGGAGCAAACAGG